GAUGAACGCUGGCGGCGUGCCUAAUACAUGCAAGUCGAGCGAACAGACGAGGUACUUGCUCCUCUGACGUUAGCGGCGGACGGGUGAGUAACACGUGGAUAACCUACCUAUAAGACUGGGAUAACUUCGGGAAACCGGAGCUAAUACCGGAUAACAUGUUGAACCGCAUGGUUCAACAGUGAAAGACGCUUUUGCUGUCACUUAUAGAUGGAUCCGCGUCGCAUUAGCUAGUUGGUAAGGUAACGCCCUACCAAGGCAACGAACCGUAGCCGACCUGGGAGGGUGAUCGGCCACACUGGAACGGAGACACGGUCCAGACUCCUACGGGAGGCAGCAGUAGGGAAUCUUCCGCAAUGGGCGAAAGCCUGACGGAGCAACGCCGCGUGAGUGAAGAAGGUCUUCGGAUCGUAAAACUCUGUUAUUAGGGAAGAACAAAUGUGUAAGUAACUAUGCACGUCUUGACGGUACCUAAUCAGAAAGCCACGGCUAACUACGUG
rnacentral:rRNA from 1 species